GUGUCUUCGAGCCCCAGUGCCACCAUGUCAGAGCAACCCAUGUAGGAAUGGUGGCAUAUGUCAUGAUCUGUGGUCUGACUAUUUUUGCGAAUGCAAACACCCUUUUACUGGAAGCAAAUGUACCAAAGAUAAAGGACAAAAGGCCUGUGUAUGUUUCCAAAGAUACUCUGUUGGGACACAUGCUAGAGUUUACUGUGGACUCUCCAGUAACAGAUGGGGUUUGGCAUGUCCUCUCCUUGUUCAGCAAUGGACAGAUUGCUUUUCUCCAUCUGGAUGGUAAACCCGUCUUGAAUAUCACUGACCAAAAUAUGGAGCUAAAGCCUGUUACUGUUGAAAGGAUUGUUCUUGGUGCAACUCUGACAGGUGACUCAAAGCUCCAGCAAUCAGGGUUCACUGGAUGUGUGCAUUAUUUUAAUGUGACUGGUUACAAUCUGCUUGUCAGCGAACCCAGCAUAAUGGCAGAUAUCUGGCCGAGCCCAACUCUCAUGCAGUCCAGCUGCAGAUCUCCAGAUGUCUGCUUCCCCUCACCCUGCUCUGAAGAAGACACUUCCAAGAGGGGUUGUCUUUAUGCACCAUGUCAAAACCAGUGGAG
rnacentral:lncRNA from 1 species